rnacentral:tRNA from 1 species
GCUAACGUAGCUUAAAAAAAAAGCAUGACACUGAAGAUGUCAAGACGAAUUCUCGAAGAUUCCGUGGGCA